UUAUGAAUUGUGAUAUAAAUAUCUGAUGUGCAUCCCCCAAAGGGGUCACGACCCACAGGUUGGGAACCACUGCGCUAGGGCUAAGCAGACUUUAUUUUUGACCCCUGGCCAGAAAUGCAAAGUCCAGAGCUCAACAAACAUAGGCACUGUGGGACAGCACGAGCGCUACACAGAAGUCUGUGUAAGAACUUCCCUUCCAGAGGCUUACAGUAUGGACAGAGCUGGGUAGAACCUAUGUAACUAAGGCACUAAUCAGUUUAUUCUUAAUUAGCAAUAGCAUAUUGUCCAGGGUGGGCCUGGUUCAUCAAGGGAAAGCUUUAUACAACAUGGGUGGGACAUGAAGCAAAUCUUGUGGACCAUGAAAUGCUGCCAAGUGGCAGAGACCUGCAGAUCUCCUCCAAGAACUGAGUACGAACUGUGCCUGACCUCCCACAAGAAAUUGAGAGCUUCAGAAUGACAGCCACACACAGGUGAAUUCUGCCAACCUCAAUAGUCCUAUUAGAGCUGCUUUUUGAGACCCUGAGCAGAGGAUGCAGGUACUGUGCUAAUGAGUCUGAUGCUGCCACAAAGCAGCAAUGCCUUGUUAGAAUUGCUUUAGGCAUCUGGCCACACAGCACCACACCUGUGGUCCAUGGUACACUACUCCAGCCCAUUCUCCAUUCAGCAGGAACCACUUCCUCAGGAGAGGCAGUAGCCUCAGCUGAGCAGCACUCCCUGGUUAGCAUCAUCUCCAUGAGACCCAGUUCCCAGUUUGUGACAUGGCCAAAAUGGGCUGCUUAACUUCUCAUGGUCACUGACACUAGCUAGCUUCAAAUAUCAACAUGAGACUGUACAGAGUAAUAUAUCCACAUAUUAAGAAACAACUAUUUCUCUUAGCCUAGAACUGCUACAAGCCCAACUGAACGGCAAUCACCUCUAACUGAGUGGUCAGCUAGUCAGAGAUGCUGAGGAGAAGGACGACACUGGGCUUAGAAUGCCUCUGGUUACAAACCUGUAUCGUGGCCUAGCAUUUCUGAAAGGACAGAACUUAGUCUGACACAAGGAAUGGCAACAAUGUGCAGUUUCUGACAUACAGUUCUUUAACCAUAAACCAAAUUUAUAAUGAGACAUGCUACAUCCAACAACCAACAAGCGGGCGGUGGUGGCGCACACCUUUAAUCCCAGCAUUUGGGAGGCAGAGAGAGGCAGAUUUCUGAGUUCGAGGCCGGCCUGGUCUACAAAGUGAGUUCCAGGACAGCCAGGGCUACACAGAGAAACCCUGUCUUGGAAAAAACAAAACAAAACAAAACAAAACAAAACAAAACCCUGUCUUGGAAAAAACAAAACAAAAGCCAGAGAACAUGAGUUGUUUUUUUUUUUUUUUUUUUUUUUAACCAUAAAACAAAGUAAAUUGUUUGAGAGAGAACUCAAAAAAGUCCAAAUUUAAGAGAAAAACUGGGAAAGAUUCAGGCACAAGGUUGCAGCCUUUGAUAGUUCUUGAGUGGGGAGAGGAAGGAGGGGAGGCCACCUGAGCAGCCUGGAUUUCUUUUGAGUACAACAGGAAGCAGGUUACUGACAGGGAAGAACACUCAAUUUGGAACACUAGUCCCGAUUCCCAGGGCAGCUGUGAUGUUUGCUUUCUGAAAUGUGGCACUUUCAUUAGGUACAACUCAAGUUUUCAUUUUUUGGUAUAAAUUGCUGUUCACUGCAGCUCUGUUCAUUUAAUCCUAAAUUCCCUGAGGCUAUGCAAAUGUUGAUUUCCUUUAUGUCUUCUAUUCUCACAAUGUUCUGUUCUGGAGCUACAAGAGUCCAUUGUAGAAUCGAUAGAAAGUAUCCAGAUUGAAGCUUUACUUUGUUCCUGAUCAAAUGUGAAAAAUAAAACAAGCAAGCAAAAUGCAGCACUGUCAUUCGGAUGUUUCCAUACAGAAACCCAUGCACACCUCAGAGCUGGGUUUACAUCGAGCUCUUGGUCAGUGCUGCUGAGUCGGCAGACAGUGAAGCUUGGCUGGCUGGAGAGAAUUCAACCAUGGACAAAACUUCGCCACCUUCAUUUCACAGAAAACCAGCGUGUGCCCCCACCCUCCCGUCCCAUAUUCCCUCUGACCAUCCACAAGAUCAAACUGCAGUUUCGUGUGGGGUGAGGACAUUUUCAUACACUGUUGUUUGGUGUGUUACAUGAUUUGCCUGGAAGCCAGCGUGUGCAAGGCCUGUCUUCACUGUGAACCACCCUCUUCUGCAAACUGCUGCUCAGGCUGUGUCUGCCACAUCAUUUUCUAUUAACUGAACAUGACUAUAACAAAGCAAACACCAACACUGUAUGAAUAACCAUGAAGGCACCAAGAUAAUACAUUUAAGUACUGUGGAGAAACGUGGGCAGAAGACUACCGUGGAUGUGACAAUGGGAAACAGCACGAAAAAGGAAAUUAACGCUCUUUUCUGUGUUUCCAGAAAAUGCCAAUGCCUAACUGGCUCAUGAGAGACACCACCGAGUGCCCCAGGUCUGUCUGUACACUCUCACUAAUUAUAGUAUUACGUUCUCUUGGCAUUAUAGACACUCAUUCCUCUUGUCUCCUGGCCUGCUUCGAUUCAGAAACAGGCAUAUAGAAUGUAUGUGCUUUGAGCCUUAUACAUUCGCGUCGAAAGAUUCGAAUCCAGAAACACUGCAUAUUCCCUUAGCAGGAGCUGAAACUAGAUUUAAGGGAUCACAAAUCACCAAUGUCACCAUCUAAGGAUUUUCCAACAUAUUGGCUCUUUCAACACCAGCCACUUUGACAUUCUCAACUGACUUGAAAAACUGACACAGCUUGGGAAGAAGCCAAACUGCAGUCAUGGGGAAGGGAGGAGAACAGCUUCACCAUAGAGAAACAGCUGGUUUCAGCUUGGUACUGGAGAGACGCUAAAAGACGCACAAUAUUGGCUCCCAUCUUCUCCAGGAUCUUCCCUUCUCCUGCCUUGCAGCACAGAAAGCAGCCUGGUGAUGUAACUGGCGUGGUCAUAGCAAUGCUAUUAAUAGCAAUGCUAUUAAUCAGGGACCUCUCCACUGAAACCCACCCCCAGUUGUGUAAGACCAACAAGUAAGUGUGACAGAAGAUACAUGUUGUUAUUGUCACUAGAAAAUCAAGCCCUCAAAACAUACUGCCAAGAUCAUGUCCCCAGGGAAAGCCAGAGUCGGUCAGCCUCUAACUACAUGAGGGAUAGGCCUACCUCCACCACUGCCCCCUCCCCAUGAAAAGACCUCAUUGGUCAAAGGCGCACUUGCAUCAUGGUACCCAGGAGACUCAGGAUAGGUAUAUCAAAUGCCUGCCACCUACCAGACCGGGAAAGAAAAUCCUCUGAGAAAGGGAAUUUACACCACACAAGAACCACUUGGUCAAGCUAGCUCUGACUUCUUGCAUAUUGUGGAUAGAUACAGCAUACAUCUUUGACUAACCUGAGCCAUCUACUGGGUAGUUUCCUGCCACACCAAACCUGCACACAACUGGUGAUGCCCCAGUACUUCAAAACUGCACACAUAUCUGGGAUGAACAAUUUAAGAAUUAUUCCACUGUUUGCUGGCUCGAAACCGUCGAUGGGAGGCUUAAUACACUAGGUGGAGCGUGCCAAAUUACCAACACCGGACAACUGACAAUUCUAAGAUGCAGUUUAAUGUGAAGAUUCUCGACUUGGAGAACCAAGAGCUAAGAACUUUGGAGCAGGGAUGUGGGUUCUUGCCUGCCUUUGUUACUAGAGAGGACACAGGGUCAGCGGCUUGACCUCUCGGCCUUCAUGGUGGAAAAACUCAGAAUAAUAUUUUCGGUUACUCUUCUCUGAGGGGGAAAAAUAACUGAGCAAGACUCUAGAAUCAGUCAAGGCAGCUUUUAAGACAUUUGGAAAGGAGAUAGGGGUGGCAGAAAAUGAAAUUCCUAUACUGUUCUCUCUUAAAAUGCCUUGCCUGACUUUAUUGAAUAAGAUGUCUUUGGGGUGAGGGGGAAUAGACAGAGACAGACAGAGACAGUUAAACUCCUAGACAAGUAGUCUUUAUUGUGAGUUAGCAGGCAAAACUCUUUACUCCAUAUGUAAUACAAAUCCCGAAAUUAGGUCUAAGGUCUUUCAGACAUUCCCUCAUGGUGUCCCUCAAGGCUUACCAGACAGUGUCAUCCCAGCACUUGGGAGGCAGAGGCAGAAAGAAGGCCUGCAAUCAAGGCAAGCCUGGUCUACACAGCCAGGGAAAGGUCAAGGCUAGCCUGGUCUACAUAGCCAGGGCUACAUUGUAAGACCUUGUCUCAAAAAUUAAAAUCAAAACAUCUUAUGUCACUUAGCUGAGACUUAGUUUUUUUAUGAUAUUUAUUUAUUUAUUAUAUGUGAGUACACUGUAGUUAUCUUCAGACACUCCAGAAUAGGAAGUCAGAUUUCAUUACAGAUGAUUGUGAACCACCAUUUGGUUGCUGGAAUUUGAACUCAGGACCUUUGGAAGAGCAGUCAGUGCGCUUAACCACUGAGCCAUCUCCCUAGCCCUAUGGUCUUUUUUUUUUUUUUUUAAGAAUCAGCUGUUUUCUCAGCUGAUGUAUUGGCAAUGUUCAAGUGGGGAUAAGUUGCCCUUGGUCCACUUUCUAACAUUUUCUAACAAGUAUGUCUCUUACCCUCUGAAUUUCAAAUAAGUUGGCUUUCAGAAUUUGUGUUUUUUCUACAUUUUACAUUCAUGCCUUCCUAUAAAGUCAGAGUUGAAAAGUAGGCUGAGAUAGCCCCUAACAAGAGAUGAAACCUGGUGAGCAGCACUGCAUCAAACCCUGCAGGGGAGUGUAAACAAACCACCCUCCAAACCAGUAAUGCACCUUUAGCUGAGACUCAAGCUGUAAGUGUCUCAGCGACCAGCAGAUGGCAGAAGAAAGGACUCAUACAUUUAUCACUUUAAAUUAGGCUCAAUGGCCAAGCAACAGGGAGGAAACUUGGUCCUCUGUAUCCGUAAGAAUUUCUAACAGAUGUCAGCAUUUCAGUUAAAUUAGAAACACCAAAGCCAUCCCCUCCUACUGAGUCCUGUGAACGUGUAAGAAAUGUAAAAGAGCUUAUGGCUUGAUUUCAAGGGCACUGUUACUUUAAACACUCCUCGGUCGGCGUUACAGUCACAUCCACAGAGUUAUCCAGGAAACUCAUUACAAAGCUCAUCUUGGGAUGACAGCAAGGGUGUGGAAGAAUUGGUACUAAAGUAACUUCAAAGAAAGGUGAAUGGACAUCUGUCUUUAACAAGCUGGUACACUUUGCAAUUGGAUGCAACAAUACCCAGAAUUUUACUCUAAACCAGCAACACUGUGAGGGUGGCCCACGAGACACAAUGUUUGUCCAGCUGGCACUGACAUGCUUGUGUUUCAUGGCUGACGCAACAUCCACUCUACUUGCCUGCAUCACGCGCCGACCGUGGAGUCUGUUAGUCCUCUACUUACCUCCUCACGGCCAGCCAUUAGCUACUUCUGUGAAAUACAUUGUGGCAAAGUGUCACAGAAGUGAUCUGCGUCCUUUACUUUGGGAGUAAGUUGGCUCACAGAGCAUGGCUGUGCUCUCUAUGGCCACCAUUAGCAGGCUAACUACUGAAGUGUUGCUGGCCAAACUCAAGGGAUAUUUAAUUUUAGUUAAAUUGUAUUAAUUUGAACUUGCAUGGCUACAUAUGUGAUUAAUUCAUAGAUCUAAUGUCCAACUUGUACACUGAGUGCAGACAAGUCCUAAGAUGCUUAAAACCCAGAAAGACUGGGAGCAAAGGGCGUCUCGUGAGUUCUAGCCAGAUGCCUUUUAUGUGAAUUGGCACAAUAACUUCACCCUAUUCUCACUGGUUGCUGGUGUCAUUGCUGUUUUAUCCUCACCUGUGACAUUCAUGUAUUCUGUCAUAACAUCUGCUUGUAUAUGAAGGAUGUGAAAUAUAGAUUAUUUCAGAAUAGUUUAUAAUGACCAGGCUGAGAUAAACCCAAAUAUGACUUAAAUUGUGGGCAAAUAUAAUCGCUAGCCUACACAGAUUUUCACAAUUAAACAUACCUUAUUUUGAAAAACAAUCUAAAGUUUACUUCUGUUUGGUGACAUUUUACAGAUUAACCUCUUUGUUAUUUGUAACUUUUAGAUGAAGGUGGAACCCCAUUCUCUUUUGCAGAAUUCGGGGAGCAGAUUCCAUUGAGGUUGUUCCUUGCAUUCCCACAAAAACACAAAAGAUGCAGAGACACAGAUAGUUCUGUGAAUGGAGCGCAGUAGAACGAAGCCCGGCGAGGUCAAUGAAUAGUAGUGUAGAACUUGACUAACACAUGUAUUUAUCUAAAUGAAGACAGACCACAAGCAGCCAGGUCAACUCUCCUCACUCAGCAAACACCCAGUGGGUAGUCUUCCUUUUAGUGGCUCUGAGGCGCAAGUGAAAAAAACCACCACACUCUAUACUGACCCACAUAACGGGCAGGCAGUGAGACAGGAAUGAAUCAGCGAUAGGCCCUGACAAGGCUUUCAGUCCCGAGACUGAAAAUCACAACCAUUACACAAUCGGACCUCUUGAGCAAUCAUUAACACACAUUUACUGUUACCCAUGCGAGCCAAUGAACAGACAAAAUGAAGUCUCUAAGUGAACACUCUUGCUGGGAACAAAAGGCCACACGACAUAACUGGGCCAGGCCUCCCUCAUCAUGCCGGCUCUCCUGCACAAACGACAGUGCAAAAGGAAGGUGGCUCAGGAGAAAUUCCAAAUGAGUGAUGAAGGCGGUAACGGUGCAGACCCACAGGAAGCAAACCCCACAGAAGCACAUGGAAGAGAGGACAGGAGGAGCGGCUAGGCCUCAGACGUGACUGAGGUGCAGGGGGUAAGGAACACAGAGUCUAGAAGAAUUUAGGAAGGUGUGGGCUCAGAAGGAGACAGAGGGGAUGGCGUACUUUGGGUCUCUUAAGUGGAUAGCCACUUUGACCUUAGAGGCCAUCUUCUUCUUUAACGUCUAUUCAACCAGAUGUGCAUAAAGAGCCACACAUGGAGCUAAUCACACUCAGGAUUUACUCGAAACCCCUAUUCAUGGUUACUUUAACUUACUUGGCCUUUUGUAUUUCAUAGCAAUCAAUUUUAGGUGCCCCAAACAAGUACUAAAAAUUAUUGCCAAAAUAAUAUAAAAAGCGAAGUGGUAAGGAGGAACAGUGUUUGUGUGUGCACGCACACAUCAAGUACUAGGAACAAUAGAGAACCGAGAACCAGUUUGAUCAAAACUGUCCCUAGGUCGCAGUUUCCCUCCACUAGUGAAGACAGGUGUGGCCCAUGGCUUAUUAGUAAGGCAUUUCUAUUCACUGUGAAGCUUGUUUGUAAAAAUACCCACAAUUAAAAAUUAAUCAACCAUCUUAAUUAUACAAAUAAAAAUGAAAACCUUAAGAAAUCUGAAAUUACUUAAAAGUUUGGAACUCUGUGACACUUCCCCCAUCCCUCAAAGUGCCGCAAGCCUUUGAGUUCUUUUUGAGAUGAGCCUUGGUAAGCAAUAUAGCAGCACUCAUGUGAUGGUAACACGUAAGCACAAGGAAGCUGUGCGCCACGAGAAGACCUGAAGAAUAUUACUUUCCAGUCAUUCCUAACAAUCGGGUUCGUUUUAUAUGAUUUUCCCAGGUACUAGUCAUCAUAUUCAGACGCAAAAAUUUCUUAUCUCUGGGUGUCCACACAGUUGAGACCUUGGCCAGUGACACUGAAUGUCAUCUGAACUAAUAUGAAGCUUACAGGUUUUAGUUUGGCCUACACUAAGGGAAUAAUACAAUAAGUGAAUACUUGAAAACAAAAAAAUGAAAUAAAGUAACAAAGAAAGAAAAAGAAAAGAAAAACCAGAUGUAUGUGGGUCAGCCACUGCUGUGGACCCGGAGGGGGCUAUGUCCUCGCAGAGACAGUACAAACGAGCUACCUACAAGUCUACAAGUGAGGCAGCCGUCUUCACUCUUUUCAGCAAUUCUAACAGGAAGGCUGCUGAUUGUGACUGGCGCUGAACACUGACAUUUCCUAAAUAGUGAGGCACAGUUUCAAGCCGAGGCACAUUGGCUAAGCUCCAGAAGACAUUUGUUUUUAAAGACACAAGUCUUCAAAAACUUUUACAAGUCCUAUAGAUCUGCAAAAAUAAAAAGCAUCUAAAACACUCUGCAGAUCUGGACAGUUUAUUAGGAAAAGGUUCUUAUAAAUGAAAUUUAGGGCUAUAAACGUAAUGUGGCUGGACUGGUUCCACACAUUGCAGAAGGCAAGCGACCGGCCAGUGGGUGGUGCACCAGAGAUGCUGGCUCACUAAUCCUCCCUCCUUUUACUGCAGUUAUAAAUACAGUGGGUCCUAGAGAUAAGAUCACAAGUUUAUUAACUAUGCAGUGAAUAUUCUGCAUGCAUGCUGGGAAUUAAAUACAAAACCAAAGAUUCAGAAGACGACGGUCUUGUGUUAAAUAUUAUAAAUACUGAAUUAAUUGUGCUCAGAAUUAUAAUACUUAGUAAUUUCUAACAUGAAAUAUAAAAACACAUUAAGCUUUUAACAUAUAAACUUAUAGCAUAUAUGUAUUAGGUAUAAAUUUAUAUUUUCUUUUUCAUUGUGAUGCACAAUCUUAGUGCGUUUACCGCCCUGAAUAGAGUUGAUGGGGUAGUCACCUCACCUUAUUAGCGUAACCAUAGCCCGUAAGUACACUGACUGGCAGGUCACACAAAUACACCAGCUUUGAAUGUGAUUGUGAAGGUGCAGAGCAGGAAAGAGUCAGGUGAGCGUAGCCCGGCACAUGCUUGCAGGUCCCCACCCACCUCAAUGGCACCUACUCUACACCUCAGACCCCUGACAAUGAACUCAGGCUGCUCCAGUGUGGCUCCUCAUGUACAUAUAUGAGAUGAAAAGGCUUUCCACAGCUAUCCUGACCCAAAGUAGCACUCCUUCCUUCCUUGCUCCUGCGAGGUCUCUGUAUAAUCCAGGCCUUCAGAACCCAGCCCAGGGUCCAGCCAUCUAGAAAGACUUCCCUUUGCUCUGCGCCUGUGCACUCUGCCCUCCCCAUGCAUCUCUAACAGCAGGCAUCUAGCAUGGACUGCAGCCCACUCCAGGACAACGCGUCUGUUCACAGGCCUUUGCCAGGCGUGGGCUCCCGGGAAGAAGCUGGGUUUUAGUUCAGUAGUGAAGACACCAAGUAGGAACGAGGGAUCAAUAAGUCUGCAAAGCAGAGCCAUCAGCCGUGUAGCAGGGCAGCUAGCAGUCAGCGGUUACAUCUAGUCAGUUCCCAAAAUGGGUGUUGGCAAUGAGGCAGGAUGUCAGAAAACCCUGCACCAGGGCAAAGGUUGAAGCCAAUCACCACUACACAAAACUCUGAGUUCUGUAGCUUCUUAUACCCAAAGUUUAAUCUUAAUCACAGCCUAAAUGAUUAAACUUAAACAGGUGUUUUUGCUAACCACUGGUGUCUGGUUAGAGCAGCAAAGUCCUGCAUGAUAAACCACACCAGGCCACACACCUUGAGUCCAAAGGCCGAUUCAUCCUCUGAGGCCCAGACGUCAACCCGCAGUGGUAGUGAAAGAAAUGAUUUAGGUACGAUCAAGACCCCCUCUGAGGACAGCCCUGAGCCAGGUGAGCCAGCCCCUGGGAGGAGGUCAAGAGGGGCUCGGUGAGUUCUCUCGGGGCUAGUGCUCUGCACUGAGAGGACCCACCCGCCUCAAUGUGUGUGGGUGCCAAUCCUCAGCAGGGCCAUCCUGCUCACAUGCCACGAUGCUGCACAGGCUCUUUAACUUGUUACUGAGAGACAGGAUAGCAAGGGGGAAAGUUGUACUCAGAAAACCAACCAUCAUGCUGGCCACCCUGCUGAUGCUAGUAGCUUCUUGUCCUUGCUCACAGCAGAGUGGGCAGAGCCAGGCUCUGGAAUGCUACAGAGCAAGAGGUCUUGAGAACAGUGCUCUGGGAGAGGCAGGCAGAGUCUAGGCAGCAAGUUGUAAAAAGAUGGCAGAACUUCAAAACUGGCUGUCAGUCUUGUGCAAGAGACGACAGAGCUCAUUAACAUGAAUUUAAAAGCUGCAUGGAAUGAGAUGUGUAUUGAUAAUUACUGUUUUUUUAAAAAACGUAAUUAUUCAGUCUGGUGUAUAAAGCUCUUAAGUUUGGCUACUAAAAAGAGCCAAUAUGAAGGAAAAGAACAAGGAAAGGAAGAGAAAGUCUGGGUGCUCAGCAUCUGGGAGGUGGGGCCGUGGGGCUGAAAUCAGGAUGAGCCUGUGACUGGCCUGGAACACAAGUGUACAUAGGCCAUGCCAAUGACAACAGUGCUGCCAAUGACAACAGUACCAAGGAAGACUGACUGCAGCAUGAAAAUGAAAGGGUUAAAGAGGAGCCACCUAGGAAGGUCAGAGCCUGGCCAACCCCACCCCACCCCGCCCCGCCCCACCAGAAAGAUGGUAGACUGGGUGCUGGGCUGACAAGAUGAGCAGCUACUUUGUGAUGGAAACCAUAUGUUGCUGAUAUCAAAUAUGAUUUUGGGCUAAAGACUGAGAUGUUGGCUCAACUAGAGUGGAAAAUCAUGGGAAGAUCCACUAACACCAUUUCUGUUUACACUCCAAUUUCCAACGCUAACUGUUAGAUUUAGAAACAAGCCAUAGCAUAGAUUUUAGCUUAGGUUCCCCCUCCCACACACGCACAAGAGCUUCAUCUUUGAUUUCCUGAGCCCUGCCUUGUACAACACCAAGCUGCUGACCGCAAAUAUUUUUAAGAUUGCAAUUCCAAAUGAACACCGAAGACUUCAGCUAAAAGCCUUUGGGGAAAGCCCUGCCGAGGUAACUACUGUGGGCAUUCUAGGACGUCUGCUUGUGAGCUGCACUCAUAGAUCCUAUCUUGCCAGCCUCUGUCCCUCAAGGACACUAAACCCUGAUGUGGGUAUUUUCACAUACAUACAAUUACUGCUGAGCACAGUAAAGCCGAGACUGGUAUCUACAGAGUGAGUUCUGCAUAUUUUAACAGAUUUUAAAAGUCAAGUAGAAAAAAAAAAUCAGUAGCAAAUAGAAUAUCUAUUUAAAGAUAAGGCUUUACUAUAUUUGACAACGGGAGGUGAGAGCAGCGCUUUCUGUGGAAUUUAGAGCCCCAUGUGACUGUUCGCAAGGCCGCUUCAGCCUCCAGUCCUGCUUCUCUCUCUAGCCAGGCUAAAGGGUAUUUCAAAACCCCUUACCAGGCUUUUAAAAAACUCAUUUCACCUAAGCAACUUCACAAACCUGUUUCCUUCAAAUACUAUGGGUUUAAAACAUACACACCCUCGUUUACUGUCUAACAUUCUCUGUUCUAUGAGGCUUUAAUGUUAGCACCUAUAGAUGAAAAAAAUACUACCUAAAAUCCAGGAGGUUAGUCUCAAUUUCCUCUCAAGGGAAUAGCAAUGUCCUAGGCAGGAUUUCCUGCUGCUCUCAGAGCAUGUGUCUCUGCUGGAAGGAAGCCCUCUAGUGGGAGCAGUGGAGUAUGCCAAGUCUCAAGGAGCCCUUCAGACCAGUAGACUUACUGGGAACCCAUGUCCUGUGUUACUCCUGUCAUACACUCUAAAGUAAAUGUUCAGAGAAAGGUUGAUAACCACUUUGUGUCUCAUCAGCCAGAAACUAUCUAUAUAAAACUGAAGUAUGCUUGUAUUGAUCUGAUACAUGAUUAAUUUUUAGCUAUUUGCCAAUGUAUUUAAUUUGGCUAUGAAGCGACACUAACUUUAAGUUAAAGGGGAAAAAAACGUGUGACUGGAAAACAAUACAGUAUGUUUUCAGUAGAAAGACUUGCUGGAACCGGAAGGUGUGCACUGGUAUUAAAGUGUUGACUCUUCAUGUCUGCUGUAAUCUGCAUUACAAACUCCUCAAAAGAAACACCUUCCAACAUUCAUCAAGAAAGACAUUCUGCACAUUUGAUCCAUACAAGGCUCAUGCUUAAGGUCUCCAAACAU